AAAUGUAUUUAAAUGUCUGACUAAUACCUCUUUUGCUCCAAAGUUGAAUGUCUGACACACAGGCCGCGCUUGACUAAAAGUCCUUUCCAGCGGCAUGGGAGCUCGUCUCUGAGGACUCCUUUAAGACGCGCUUAAGCACGAACCGCCUGGCUGCCUGAACGCAUCACGGCCGGGCUUCGCACCCCAACAGUCCUCCAAACACCACUUUUGCUUAUGAAAUCCAAAAAGUGGUUCAGAUGAUUUCCAGUUCCUGCAAAGGUCCUGUCCUGCAUGCUCACACACACAUGCAUGCACACACACACAAAUAACACACACAUACAC